rnacentral:rRNA from 1 species
UACAGAGGGUGCAAGCGUUGUUCGGAAUUAUUGGGCGUAAAGCGCGUGCAGGCGGCUUUGCAAGUCGGGUGUGAAAUCCCUCGGCUUAACCGAGGAACUGCCCUCCAAACUGCUUCGCUUGAGACCGGGAGAGGUGAGUGGAAUUCCCAGUGUAGCGGUGAAAUGCGUAGAUAUUGGGAGGAACACCAGUGGCGAAGGCGGCUCACUGGACCGGUACUGACGCUGAUGCGCGAAAGCGUGGGGAGCAAACGGGG